ACAUGCAAGUCGAACGGAGAUAAAGAUUUCGGUUUUUAUCUUAGUGGCGCACGGGUGAGUAACACGUGAAUAACCUGACCCAAAGAGGGGGAUAACACCUGGAAACAGGUGCUAAUACCGCAUAAGACCACAAUGUCGCAUGACGAAGGGGUCAAAGAAAAUCGCUUUGGGAGGGGUUCGCGUCCCAUUAGGUAGUAGGCGGGGUAACAGCCCACCUAGCCGACGAUGGGUAGCCGAGCUGAGAGGCUGAUCGGCCACACUGGAACUGAGACACGGUCCAGACUCCUACGGAAGGCAGCAGUGGGGAAUAUUGGGCAAUGGGCGCAAGCCUGACCCAGCAACGCCGCGUGAGGGAAGAAGGUUUUCGGAUUGUAAACCUCUGUCGCAGAAGACGAAGGAAGUGACGGUAUUCUGUGAGGAAGCCCCGGCUAACUACGUGCCAGCAGCCGCGGUAAUACGUAGGGGGCGAGCGUUGUCCGGAAUUACUGGGCGUAAAGGGAGCGUAGGCGGUCAGAUAAGUUGGAUGUGAAAUACCCGGGCUUAACUUGGGGGGUGCAUCCAAUACUGUUGGACUAGAGUACAGGAGAGGAAAGCGGAAUUCCUAGUGUAGCGGUGAAAUGCAUAGAUAUUAGGAGGAACAUCGGUGGCGAAGGCGGCUUUCUGGACUGCAACUGACGCUGCGGCUCGAAAGCGUGGGGAGCAAACAGGAUUAGAUACCCUGGUAGUCCACGCUGUAAACGAUGAAUACUAGGUGUAGGGGGUAUAAACUCCCUCUGUGCCGCAGCAAACGCAAUAAGUAUUCCGCCUGGGGAGUACGGCCGCAAGGUUGCAACUCAAAUGAAUUGACGG
rnacentral:rRNA from 1 species